UACGGAGGGGGCUAGCGUUGUUCGGAAUCACUGGGCGUAAAGCGCACGUAGGCGGAUCUUUAAGUCAGGGGUGAAAUCCCAAGGCUCAACCUUGGAACUGCCUUUGAUACUGGGGAUCUCGAGUCCGGAAGAGGUGAGUGGAACUGCGAGUGUAGAGGUGAAAAUUCGUAGAUAUUCGGAGGAACACCAGUGGCGAAGGCGGCUCACUGGUCCGGUACUGACGCUGAGGUGCGAAAGCGUGGGGAGCAAACAGG
rnacentral:rRNA from 1 species